UACGGAGGGUGCAAGCGUUAUCCGGAUUCACUGGGUUUAAAGGGUGCGUAGGCGGGCAGGUAAGUCCGUGGUGAAAUCUCCAAGCUUAACUUGGAAACUGCCGUGGAUACUAUUUGUCUUGAAUAUAGUGGAGGUGAGCGGAAUAUGUCAUGUAGCGGUGAAAUGCUUAGAUAUGACAUAGAAACACCCAUUGCGAAGGCAGCUCGCU
rnacentral:rRNA from 1 species